AACGUACGCUGGCGGCACGCCUAACACAUGCAAGUCGAACGAAGUAGCAAUACUUAGUGGCAGACGGGUGAGUAACAUGUAGGUAUCUGCCCUUUGGCCUGGAAUAACACGAGGAAACUUGUGCUAAUACCAAUAAGCCCUUACGGGGAAAGUUUUAACGCCGAAAGAUGAGCCUGCACUUGAUUAGCUAGUUGGUAAGGUAAAGGCUUACCAAGGCAACGAUCAAUAGCUGUUCUUAGAGGAUGAUCAGCCACAUUGGGACUGAGACACGGCCCAAACUCCUACGGGAGGCAGCAGUGGGGAAUCUUGCACAAUGGAGGAAACUCUGAUGCAGCGAUGCCGCGUGAGUGAAGAAGGCCCUUGGGUUGUAAAGCUCUUUCGUCGGGGAAGAAAAUGACUGUACCCGAAUAAGAAGGUCCGGCUAACUUCGUG
rnacentral:rRNA from 1 species